AAAAACUGUAGAUAAGAUCCAAAAAUUUAUCAACCUGCAUGGAAUGUCCAAAAUCAAGAAUUUCUUGUGAAUUUGGUCAACAAAUUAGGAAUUUCUUAUGAAUUUGGUCGACGGUACACUUGAAAGGUCAAUUUUGCCUUUUUUAUUUCUUUUUUCAUAUUUUUUUUAUUUAUUUUAGAAUUUAAAUAAUUAGAAAAAAAACAAAAAAUAAAAUUCCACUCUACCCUACCUCUCUAGGUUCUCUGGCGGCAACUCUCUCUCUCUCUCUCAUCUGAUCGGUUCUCUUAUCUGAUCGUCUUCAUCAUCCUAUUAUCUUCCAAAUCAAAUCACAUCCAUACAGAAAACUAAAAGAUAAUACAUAAUUGAUGAUUCGAUUCCUGCAACUCUCUCUAACACAUACAUAAUUGAUGAUUGUUUACAAAGCCUAAGAAAUUAGGACUGAGUUAACUCGUGUGGUAGUAGAACACGAUGCUUGGUGGUUUUCGUCGCCGGAGAACAUAACCCAUAGACCUGAUCUUUGCUUCCAUCUCUCCUUACUGUUGAAUCACCCAACCUGGAAUCUACUAUCUAAUUCCAAAUCUGUAAUCCACAAAACCCAAACAUAUUGCAUCUGAUUUCAAACCCAAACUCACAUCUGUUUCUCUAUUACAUAUACAUCGAAUUUCUUCUUCUUUUGAUCUAAUGUGAACAUCUAAUUUCUCCAUACAGGUUCUAUAUAUAGAUAAGGCUUUCAAUUAACCCGACAAAGUUCACCAGAAAAAGUGCUACAUAGAUAAAGUUUAAUCGGACCUCCUGAAGGGGAAGGGGGUUUCAUCAUAGGUGUGUUUAUGAAAAGGGCAGUAGGGUAGAGUACGGUGAACAUGCGAUAUCCGAUUGUUAGAUUCAAUCAUCGAGGUUUCGUGAUUGCAGGUUUCAAGCUCCAAUAUGUGUAUCCAUUGGUUCGCGAAGGAGAGAGGGAGUGAAGACGAUGAGAAGUAACAUACUUACCGGUGAUGAGGGACAACGAGAAAUUUGGGCGGCGACCAUUAGGGCUUCUUGACGAGAAUGAAGGCGAUGAAGCUGACGUCUUUUUGAUUAGCGCGAAAGAGAGAAAGAAAUGUAGGGUGAGGUACAGAGGUAGUGAGGUGGGUUGCUGUAAUGUCGUAGGCCCAUUUUUUUUUUUUUUUAAAUUAAAAAACAAUUAAAAUAAAUAAAGAAAAUAUAAAAAAGAAAUAAUAAGAUAAAAUAGUCUUUUCAAAUUUCUAAGGACCAAAACCAAAGAAAAUUCUUGAGUUUGGACCUUUCAUGCAAGUUGAAAACUUUUUGAACCGUAUCCACAUUUUUUUGCAAACCAUAAGGACCAAUUUUGCAAUUUUGUCGAUAGAAAAUGAUUAACGACUUAUGUUACUAAUUAAACUUUUUAGGGAGACCUUUAUUUAAAUAAUGAAAUAGUUUAUUAAGUUUUGUAUAUCAUGACGAUGUGGGAUCAAAGUAGCUUUAUCAUGUGCAUUUUUGUGUCAUGUUUUUAUCCUACCUUACUUAAGAAACAAAGUUGAAACGAAAACAAACAAGUAUAAGUAAAGAGCCUGACACAUUUUUUAUCCCACUACACAUUUUUUAUCCAACUACAAUGUUCAACUUAAUUGUUUUGAACAAUGUUUAGAUGUUCAUUGUAAUAAAAAAAAAGCUAUAUACGUGUAUGGUGAUGAUUGAAAGAAGUAUACAUGUAUCACAACACAUUAAUAUAAUCAUUUAAAAC
rnacentral:lncRNA from 1 species